UAAUACGUAGGGUCCGAGCGUUGUCCGGAAUUAUUGGGCGUAAAGGGCUCGUAGGCGGUUUGUCGCGUCGGGAGUGAAAACUCAGGGCUCAACCCUGAGCGUGCUUCCGAUACGGGCAGACUAGAGGUAUGCAGGGGAGAACGGAAUUCCUGGUGUAGCGGUGGAAUGCGCAGAUAUCAGGAGGAACACCGGUGGCGAAGGCGGUUCUCUGGGCAUUACCUGACGCUGAGGAGCGAAAGCAUGGGGAGCGAACAGG
rnacentral:rRNA from 1 species